rnacentral:rRNA from 1 species
UUGGAGGGCAAGUCUGGUGCCAGCAGCCGCGGUAAUUCCAGCUCCAAUAGCGUAUAUUAAAGUUGUUGCAGUUAAAAAGCUCGUAGUUGAAUUUCGGGAUCAAUGUUUCGGUCAUGCCGUUGGUAUGUACUGAUAUUAUUGAUUUCUCACCUUCUAAAGAACCGUAAUGCCAUUAAUUUGGUGUCACGGGGAAUUAGGACUGUUACCUUGGAAAAAUUAGAGUGUUUAAAGCAGGCUCACGCUUGAAUACAUUAGCAUGGAAUAAUGAAA